rnacentral:rRNA from 1 species
GAUGAACGCUGGCGGCGUGCCUAAUACAUGCAAGUCGAGCGAACGGACGAGAAGCUUGCUUCUCUGAUGUUAGCGGCGGACGGGUGAGUAACAUGUGGAGAAACUACCUAUAAGACUGGGAUAACUUCGGGAAACCGGAGCUAAAACCGGAUAAUAUUUUGAACCGCAUGGUUCAAAAGUGAAAGACGGCCUUGCUGUCACUUAUAGAUGGAUCCGCGCUGCAUUAGCUAGUUGGUAAGGUAACGGCUUACCCAGGCAACGAUGCAUAGCCGACCUGAGAGGAUGACCGGCCACACUGGAACUGAGACACGGUCCAGACUCCUACGGGAGGCAGCAGUAGGGAAUCUUCCGCAAUGGGCGAAAGCCUGACGGAGCAACGCCGCGUGAGUGAUGAAGGUCUUCGGAUCGUAAAACUCUGUUAUUAGGGAAGAACAUAUGUGUAAGUAACUGUGCACAUCUUGACGUUACCUAAUCAGAAAGCCACGGCUAACUACGUG